rnacentral:lncRNA from 1 species
GCCCUGGCAGGACCCUUUAACACCGGUUGGUAUUACCAACCGGUGUUAAAGGGGGGGGCUUUAGCCCCGGUUGCCCGAACCGGGACUAAAGGGUGGGCCUUUAGUCCCGGAAGGGCAGCACCGGCUCGGGAACCGGGGCAACAGGCCCUUCCCGACCGGUGCUAAUGCCCGAUCAUGCAGCAGUGAUGAGUAUCUUUUCUUUCUGUAGACUCAUUUGCAGGUAGAAUUCUCUUUUAGAUCAUGUUGUUGGAGAAGACAAAAAAAAAUAAGUAUUGAACCAUUUCCCUAUAGUGCCACCCAAACGUGAAAUAGGUCAUGUUGUUUCCCUCGCGCUUUGAACAUGUUAGCCUGGUUUGCACGCUGUUCAAAGUGGUCCAGAGCCAGGUUUCUAGAACAGGACGGCUCCCAUCACCUCUCCUUUCUUUGCAGAGGAAUUAAAUAUGUUUUUAUUUAUAUUUAAUAUUUUAUGUAUAUGUAGUUAGAUUCGAUAUAACAAAAAAAAGUCUUUUUAAAGAAAAGUAAACAAGCCCCGCGAAAACAAAGCAGACCCGU